rnacentral:rRNA from 1 species
UACAGAGGUCCCAAGCGUUGUUCGGAUUCAUUGGGCGUAAAGGGUGCGUAGGCGGCGCGGUAAGUCGGGUGUGAAAUCUUGGAGCUUAACUCCGAAACUGCAUUCGAUACUGGCAUGCUUGAGGACUGGAGAGGAGACUGGAAUUCAUGGUGUAGCAGUGAAAUGCGUAGAGAUCAUGAGGAAGACCAGUGGCGAAGGCGGGUCUCUGGACAGUUCCUGACACUGAGACACGAAGGCCAGGGGAGCAAACGGG